UUGGAGGGCAGUCUGGUGCCAGCAGCCGCGGUAAUUCCAGCUCCAAUAGCGUAUAUUAAAGUUGUUGCAGUUAAAAAGCUCGUAGUUGAAUUUCGGGAUUAGUACGCUGGUCGUGCCUUCGGUACGUACUGGUGUUACUGAUUCCUACCUUCUGACGAACCAUCAUGUCAUUAGUUUGGUGUGGUGGGGAAUCAGGACUGUUACUUUGAAAAAAUUAGAGUGUUUAAAGCAGGCUCGCGCUUGAAUACAUUAGCAUGGAAUAAUGAAAUAGGACGUUGAUCCUAUUUUGUUGGUUUCUAGGAUUGACGUAAUGAUUAAUAGGGAUAGUUGGGGGCAUUAGUAUUCAAUUGUCAGAGGUGAAAUUCUUGGAUUUAUUGAAGACUAACUACUGCGAAAGCAUUUGCCAAGGAUGUUUUCAUUAAUCAAGAACGAAAGUUAGGGGAUCGAAGACGAUCAGAUACCGUCGUAGUCUUAACCAUAAACUAUGCCGACUAGGGAUCGGAUGAUGUUAUUUUUAAUGACUCAUUCGGCGCCUUACGGGAAAC
rnacentral:rRNA from 1 species